AUUGAACGCUGGCGGCAGGCCUAACACAUGCAAGUCGAACGAGUGGCGGACGGGUGAGUAAUGUCUGGGAAACUGCCUGAUGGAGGGGGAUAACUACUGGAAACGGUAGCUAAUACCGCAUACCAUCGGAUGUGCCCAGAUGGGAUUAGCGAGUAGGGGGGGUAAAGGCUAACCUAGGCGACGAUCCCUAGCUGGUCUGAUAGGAUGACGCGCCAAACUGGAACUGAGACACGGUACAGACGCCUACGGGAGGCAGCAGUGGGGAAUAUGGCACAAUGUGCGCAAGACUGAUGCAGACAUGCCGAGUGUAUGAAGAAGGCCUGCGGGUUGUAAAGUACUUUCAGCGGGGAGGCGUUACCCGCAGAAGAAGCACCGGCUAACUCCGUGCCAGCCGCCGCGGUAAUAC
rnacentral:rRNA from 1 species